rnacentral:rRNA from 1 species
UACGUAGGGUGCGAGCGUUGUCCGGAAUUACUGGGCGUAAAGAGCUCGUAGGUGGUUUGUCGCGUUGUUCGUGAAAACUCGGGGCUUAACUCCGGGCCUGCAGUGGGUACGGGCAGACUAGAGUGCGGUAGGGGAGACUGGAAUUCCUGGUGUAGCGGUGAAAUGCGCAGAUAUCGGGAGGAACACCGGUGGCGAAGGCGGUUCUCUGGGCCUGACCUGACGCUGAGGAGCGAAAGCGUGGGGAGCGAACAGG